rnacentral:rRNA from 1 species
UACGAAGGGGGCUAGCGUUGUUCGGAAUUACUGGGCGUAAAGCGCACGUAGGCGGACAUUUAAGUCAGGGGUGAAAUCCCAGAGCUCAACUCUGGAACUGCCUUUGAUACUGGCUGUCUUGAGUACGGGAGAGGUGUGUGGAACUCCGAGUGUAGAGGUGAAAUUCGUAGAUAUUCGGAAGAACACCAGUGGCGAAGGCGACACACUGGCCCGUUUACUGACGCUGAGGCGCGAAAGCGUGGGGAGCAAACAGG